rnacentral:rRNA from 1 species
CUACGGGGCGCUCCAGUCGAGAAUCUUCCGCAAUGCGCGAAAGCGUGACGGAGCAAUGCCGCGUGGGGGAUGAAGGCCUUCGGGUCGUAAACCCCUGUCACCCGGAACGAAUUUUGACGGUACCGGGUAAGGAAGUCACGGCUAACUACGUGCCAGCAGCCGCGGUAAUACGUAGGUGGCAAGCGUUAUUCGGAUUCACUGGGCGUAAAGGGUCCGUAGGGGGUUUGUUCAGUCUGUUGUGAAAGCCCGAGGCUCAACCUCGGAAUUGCAGCAGAUACUAGCAGACUAGAGCAUAGGAGAGGAGAGUGGAAUUCCUGGUGUAGCGGUGGAAUGUGUAGAUAUCAGGAGGAACACCAAUGGCGAAGGCAACUCUCUGGACUAUGGCUGACCCUGAGGGACGAAAGCUAGGGGAGCGAACAGGAUUAGAUACCCUAGUAGUC